AUGACCUUACAGGGAGGCCGGGCCCUCCUAUUCGCCCAACGGGAGGCUGUCCUGUCCCACGCCUCCGACCUCUGCUCUGUUUGCAACAAGAACAUUCACAUCGCCCUCGCGACUCUCGUUCUCAACUACGCCGGCUCACUCCACGGCCAGCCUGACCUGGAGGCCAAGGCCCAGUGUCUGCCGGUGGCCAGACAAGCAGCCCACCACAGAGCACAUCAGCCUGCUCUGGAAGACCUCCCACUGGCCAGAAGAGAUCAGAAGAAUAUAUCAGAAUCAGAGAAUGACAGUGAACAGUCUGCCCAGAAUAAUGACAUGGACCUGUCCUCCAUAUUCAAGUUGCUUGAAGACAAUGUCAAUACUUUUAUGAAGACUGAGUUGAAUAGGUUUAAUAAGCUUCUGAGUCUGGAGAAGUAUGAGGAAGUGGUGGGAACAGAUUCUGAGAAGCAGGACAGCAGCGCCAGAGAGGGGGCUCUGAAGAUCACACUGCACAUGCUGAGGAAGAUGAACCAAGAAGAACUUUUUUUUUUAGGUGAGCUAGCAGUGUGCCAAAGGAAACAAAAAGCCAAUCUGAAGAAAAGAAGCAAAUAUGUAUUUGAGGGAAUAGCUAAGCAGGGGAACCCAACUCUUCUCAGUAACAUAUACACAGAGCUGUACAUCACAGAGGGUAGAAGUGGAGAGGUCAAUAAUGAACAUGAGGUGAGACAGAUUGAGAUAGCAUCCAGGAGACGAGCAACACAAGAUAUACCAAUCAAAUGCAAUGACAUCUUCAAACUCUUACCUGGACAAGACAAACCGAUCAGAACUGUGCUGACAAAGGGAAUUGCUGGCAUUGGAAAAACAAUCUCUGUGCAGAAGUUCAUUCUGGACUGGGCUGAAGGAAAAGCAAAUCAAGAUAUUCAACUCAUAAUUCCACUGCCAUUUCGUGAGCUGAAUUUGAUGGAGGAGAAGUACAGCUUGAUGGAACUUCUUCAAUACUUCUUGUUGGAAACCAAAACAUCAGGCAUCUCCAACUAUGACAAAUACAAAGUCAUGUUUAUCUUUGACGGUCUGGAUGAGUGUCGACUUCCUCUAGACUUCCAGAACAAUAAGAACUGCUGUGAUGUCACAGAGUCAACCUCAGUGGAUGUGCUGCUGACCAACCUCAUCAUGGGGAAUAUGCUUCCCUCAGCUCAACUCUGGAUAACCUCCCGACCAGCAGCAGCCAACCGCAUCCCCCCUACGUGUGUUGAGCAGGUGACGGAAGUACGAGGGUUUGAUGACCCACAGAAGGAGGAGUACUUCAAGAAAAAAUUCUGUGACGAGAACCUGGCUGGCAAAAUCAUCACGCACCUGAAGAAAUCUAGGAGCCUCCACAUUAUGUGCCACAUACCCAUCUUCUGGAUAACAUUUUGUCUGAAGCAAAGAAACGAGAAAUGCCAAAGACUCAAACUGAAAUGUACACACACUACCUGACGUUCCUGACUAAACAGAUGGACCUGAAGUACCAUGGAGAACAUGAGAUGAAUCAGCAAAGGAAUGAGAAAACCAUCCUGUCACUUGGAAAGCUGGCUUUUCAACAACUGGAAAAAGGCAAUCUGAUUUUCUAUGAGGAAGACCUGAGAGAGUGUGGCAUUGAUGUCAAAGAAGCCUUAGAAUACUCAGGAGUGUGCACACACAUCUUCAGAGAAGAGUUUGGAUUGUACCAAAAGAAGGUGUACUGCUUUGUGCAUCUGAGCAUUCAGGAGUUUCUUGCUGCUUUGUAUGUUUUUCUCAUCUUCAGCGACAACAGUGACAAUCUGAUGGUAGAAGAACCUCCCAGUUCAAAGAAACCACUGCUCACCCACAUGCCAACAAGCAUCCUCCACAAGAGUGCAGUGGAUAAGGCCUUACAAAGCAAGAACGGACACCUGGAUCUAUUCCUUCGCUUCCUACUUGGUCUCUCACAGGAGUCCAAUCAGAUUCUCCUGCAAGGUUUAUUGACGCAGACCAAUAUCAGGCCACAAUCCAACAAGGAGACAGCCAAGUACAUCAAGGAGAAAAUCAGAGAAAACCUUUCUCCAGAGAGAUGCAUUAACCUGUUCCACUGUCUGAUUGAGCUGAAUGACCAUUCCCCAGUGGAGGAGAUCCAAAGCUCCCUGAGCUCAGGAAGUCUCUCAGAAGCCAAACUAUCACCUGCACAGUGGUCAGCCCUUGUCUUUGUGUUGUUGACUUCAGAAGAGGAGCUGGAUGUGUUUGACCUGAAGAAAUACUCCAGAUCAGAGGAAGGUCUUCGGAGGCUGCUGCCAGUGGUCAAAGCCUCCAGAAAAGCUAUGUUGAAUGGAUGCAAUCUCACAGAGAAAUGCUGUGAAGCAUUGGCUUCAGCUCUCAGCUCAAACUCCUCACAGCUGAGAGAGCUGGAUCUGAGCGACAAUGACCUGCAGGAUUCAGGAGUGAAGCUGCUCUCUGUUGGACUGAAGAAUCCACAAUGUAAUAGGUUGCCAUUCUGUGGAGUCACGAUGGAAGGCUGUGCUUCUCUGGCCUCUGCUCUGAAGUCAAACCCCUCAUGCCUGAAAGAACUGGAUCUGAGCUACAACAACCCAGGAGAGCCAGGAGUGAAACUGCUCUCUACUUUACUAGAGGACCCACUCUAUAAUCUUGGGAAACUCAGUGUUGAACAUGAUGCAGAAUGCUGGUUAAAAGCUGGCCUGAAGAACUAUGCCCGUGAGCUGACACUGGACCAAAACACGGCACACAGAGAGCUCUCUCUGUCUGAGAGAAGAGUCACCCGAGGAGAAAUGCAACCAUAUCCUGAUCACCCAGACAGGUUUGAGCGCCCUGCACAGGUGUUAUGCACAGAGGGCCUGACUGGACGCUGUUACUGGGAGGUGGAAGUGGAGGGGAACAAGUAUUCAACUUAUAUAGGAGUAGCAUACAAAGAGAUCAGCAGGAGAGGAAGGCACUACGACCUCCUCCUUGGACACAAUGACAAGUCUUGGAGUCUGCGUUAUGCUGAUGACCAAUACAUGGCCUGGCACAAUAUGGUGAGCACUGUCAUACCUGUCCCCUCUGUCCACUCCAACAAACUGGGACUGUAUCUGUACUGGUCAGCUGGCACUCUGUCCUUUUACAGUGUCUCCUGUAGCACAUUGACCCAUCUUCAUACAUUCCACACAAAGUUCUCUGAGCCUGUCUAUCCAGCCUUUAGGGUUUGGGCUAAUGGCACGUCAGUGUCCCUUUGCAAAAUAGAAUAGCAUCCUGUGCCAGGCGGAGUAGAAGAACUUGUAAGAUGUGUUUCUCUAUUAUUGGCAGACCACAGAGGGAACUGAGUAAAUGUUAAAUAUUCCGAUACAGUUUAUGAUCUUGUACUUUAUAUUUUAUUGAGCGAUUGCUGUAAGAGAGCUAUGAUGAUAAUCCUCAAUGUGUGAAGCUAAAAUGCAUUUAACUAUUUUAAAUCAUUCAUUCUUCAGGAACUUUUCCAGAAUUGUGUUGGUAUGGCAAAAAGUACUCCCUUAAUGCAAUGUUGAAGAGUAGGUGAGUAAUUGUCCCCAAACCCAUGCUUUGACUACUGUAUAAAAAUGCAUCACUACUGGCAGGUUUUGUUUUGAAUCAGGUCACAACUCAUUUAUUGCAGUACAAUAGUGUAUAGACAUUCACAUGCAUUCCACAGGACGGCUGAUUGAACCAUUUUGUACAUCCGCAGCUUUUAGCCAACAGGAAAUGCUCAAAUGUCAUGAUGGAAUCGCUUCGAUAUAAGAAGUUAGUUAUCAAAUGUAUAACACCACUGUGAUUGGCUUGAUACAUGUUCUGUAGUCCAUAUGUUAUAAUAAUAAACUGUUGGAUGGAGGUUUUAGAUUUUGUCAUCACAUUUUCUGUUUUGUAAAGAAAUGGGUGGUAAAUGAAAUGUUCCGCGGUGGUAAAGUUUGACCUUGAAGAUGUUGGAACAGAUGAUCCCUAUUGGGGUUAAAUCACAUAAUAAUCUAAGCAGUGCAAUCUGACAUAGAGAGUAUUCACACUUCUGUGGAACUCUCCCAUUUGUAUCUAGAAAGGAGCACCUCUAACCAUUGUCCUACAACGUGGUGUGUAGAGACGUUGUAGCAGGAGUUGUGAUACUUUAUGUAAUGUCAUCUGGGUUCGUAUUCUUAGAGUAGGAGUGCUGAGCUAGGAUAAGUUUUGCCUUUCAAAUAAUAAAGAUUAUGUAGACCUGAUCCUAGGUCAGCGCCCAGUGCAUAUUUAUCCAGUUUAAAUACGCCCUUUAUGUGCUGUGUAAAGUCUCUUCCGCUGUUCAAUGUCAAAAUUCCAUUCACAAUAAAAGGAAAACAAGAGACGGGACAAAAUGAAUUAAGGCAGACCACACUAAUAUGGAAACCGUAAAAAGCUAGCUUAUCCAAAGCAAACAGUAUUUUCCUUAACUACAAUGCUUCAUGAUGGUUAAGCUUUCAAAGGGAGGGAUAUUUCUAUGUCAGUCAGAUAUACUGUCUAUAUAUUAUGGAGUAACCCAAGCAUGUACACAAGCAGAUUUUUAAUCACAUGAAAGCAUAUAUUACCAUAAUAGUUGAACUGUAUGUUUGCAGUUAAAAA